UCGCCGGAGGAGCAGCUAGGGCACGAUUUUGUGAGUAAAUUUGGGGCUUUGUGUCUUCUUCAUAAGAAUUGAGAGAUGGGGGAUUGAGAGGGAGACGAGGGAAGGUGACGAGCUUGGUGGCUGUCGUUGCUGCGGCCGCGGAGGACAGAGGGAGGGCGUGUUUCUAUGGCCGGAGUUGAGAGAGAGAGAAAGCUGGGGGAUGAGGGACGAGAUAGAGAGUAGGGG
rnacentral:lncRNA from 1 species